UGACGAGUGGCAAGUGUUUUGUAAUCUUUCAUCAAAAUUCAGUGUCAGUGGACGAAAAAUUAAUCGAAAGUUAGAAAUUCAUGUAUAAAUCUCAGUUAGGUCAAGCCGGAGACGACAAUUGAGCAGUGCCGCGGGGAGGGCAAUUGGUCGAAGGUGAUCGAGUUGGCGGACGAGCUCAAGUCGGGCUAACCGCAGGUUGUUUGCGCGCAGAGAGUUUGGCCAACUUCCUGAUGGGGGAGAGCUACCUGGGAGGCCGCCAGCUUCAGUAUAUCUGUUGUAACCACAACUAAUCGCCUUGCAGCGCGGCUACAUCCAGUAGCAGUGGGCCGAGGCGAAGCAGUGCAUCCCGAAUGUCGUUUGAACCCUGGGCGGAUCGAUCCCAACUAAACGAAGAUUUGGUUCCUGCUCGGUCAGGUCAUGGAGGCUUCGGUAGAUUGCGUGGCCAUGACGCUACGUUCAACAGGACCCAAAUGACCACCAGCCCGCGUCUAACUAUAAUAUUUCCGAAGCCCUGAUCCACAUCACCAGCUCUUUACCGUUCCGCGCGGAACACCCGAUCAGUUUGCAUCUGUUUGCCCCACUCCUGACCGCAAACCGACGCCCCAAGGAAAACAUAGCUGUCGUUCAGGACGCAACCGAAGAGUUCCCCGAGCCCCGAACCUGGAUCUUUUCCACGUAAAAAGCAAUAGGUGCUGUAGCUGGCCAACGUUGGCAGUGGCACAGAGCACGACCACAAGAGCACUUCGACACGCACAACGUGCUGCAGGCAAUUAUGUGCGAGAAUUCCCGCAAGGAUUUCAACUCGAUUCAGCGAUUCGCAUGUCGUGUCCCGCACGAGCAUCCUCAGUAAGAACCCAUUCUUGCAGCGUGGUCCACCACCAGCAGCAGUGAGCCGAGGCGAAGCUGUGCAUCUUGAAGCCGGCUCGGCAAAUCCGUACUACACGAGUGUGCUCUGUGCUCUGGGCGGAUCAAUCCUGACUGCGCGUGGUUUUGGUUCCUGCUCGGUCGGGUCAUGGAUGUUUCGGCGGAUUUUCAGACUCCACACGAGUCCCGUCCCAAAUCGAGCACGCCCUCAGCGAAACCGCUAGCUCGUUCAGUCCACGGCCUGGGCCACAGAACACGUGGAUAAACCAUUUCAAGAUCUGACUGCUGCUGGCGAACGUGUACCUCACCAUCUAACAACGCAACGAAUCGACCAACUGUAUCCAAGAGGCGAGCCUGAGCAAUCCGGUGUUGCAUUAAAUCAUGUUCAUGCGCGUACAAAUCUACAUCUACCUCGAGGCGUGCCAUGGGCCAUGAAACUGCCCGAGAAUUUGGUACCUGCUCGGGCGUGUCAUUAAGGCGGAUUUUAUAGCCACGGCGCAGCAGUUCGAGCCGCCCGACCCCAUGCUUCGUUCACCUCGUUUGGAUUGGUUUCGAGUUACACUAAAACUUCCGAUUACGCUCAGACAUUACGCUUUGUAUUUGGUCGAUUUCUCUAGAACGACGAAAAUUUUUCAAAUUUUUCAAAUCAAUUUAUACGUCUUGUGCUGAUCUACAAAUUGCAUUCAAAAGAACAAAACAUUACACUGUUUUCGAGAAAUCAACCUAAAUAAAAAGCUUAACGCCUGCGCGUAAACGAGGGUUUUAGUGUAAUUGCUUCGACGUGUAAACCUGAAUGCUUAUGUUCGGAUCACUACUUGCUACUUUUUUGUAAUUGUAGUUUAAAUUAGGAACACUUUUCGGGAUUACUGAGGUGUAUUACUUCACGUUUGUUUGUGUAUAUUGUUUGCUUCAAAAAUAAAAUAUAGGAUAUUUAGAAUGACUCGCUAAUCAAAAUGAAUUUGUGUUUGAAACCCCGAAAUUAAAAGGUGCUUUUCCAGAUCCAACAAUUUAGCGACGAAAAAGUAAUUCUUCAUCAAAAAUAAUUUGAAUUUCAUGCGUUUUGGUAAUCGUGCUAUACUAUUGUGCAUUUCAAAAGGCCAAAAAUUUUGCUACGCAGAUUCGGAUGGUACACG